ACUGGAAGAGGGAAGAUUAACCUUUCACUGGCCACAAUUUGUUCCCUCUUAUCGUGGAGGAUUCGGCAACCCGCCCCCCUCCGAUCCAGCCAAUCUGUCUGAAUUGCUGAAAGCAUAAUGCUCCCAUAUGAGAGAUAAGGUGCUGGAGUCCUUUGCCCUUUCCUCCAAAGGUCUGAGCCUUAGAUGUGGCCACACUGCAUCAGGCUGCAUCUCCGUGAGGACUGACACCACUGUCUUCAGCUGCUUUGCUGUCCCUCUGAACGUUUCCAUCUAAACUCCAGGUGGGUCUCCUCAUCUUGGGCUACUCUGAACUUCAGCAAGUGCCCACUGGUCCUGCUCUGUUUGUCGGCAAGAAUGAGCCGCCGGGAGGAGGAAUGUUUCCCAGACAGAGGGUGAGGAG